UGCAUGCAUGCCUGGACAUUAUGAGUAUGCCUGGUGACUGCAGAGGUCAGAAGAGGGUGUCAGAUCCCCUGGAACCGGAAUUUCAGGCUGUUGCCAGCCGCAGAGAACAAAAAAGACUUGUGUACACAAUGAGCCCUGGAGAAGUCAGGAAAGUCAAACACAGCUCACUCCCCCGCCCCCUGUUUUUUUGAGACAGGGUUUCUCUGUGUAACAGCUUUGGCUGUUCAGCAACUCACUCUGUAGACCAGGCUGGCCUCAACUCAGAGAUGCACCUGUCAGUAAGCAGGCACAUGGUUUGAUUUGGGAGGGAUCAGUUUCCAUGAGAGAGAGGUAGAGAAGAUUCAAAGCCUAUCAUCUCCAGUGUCGCAGAGACUCAGGGAGGAUCAGAAACGUGAGGUAGCACAAAAUCAGGGGCCAGGGCUCCUGGAGCCUGGGAGACUCAGUCACAGUCGUACUGGGGUUUUCACCAGGCAAAAAGGCGAGAGACCGUGGUUGCCACCUUGAGUCCUAACUCAUGGGCAGAGAAUGAGGGGCGGCUUACCAGACGUGGUGGUGGUGGUGGAAGAAUCCAGAGACCCUUAGUCGGAAAAGCGACCCGAGUGAAGGAUCCAGGGUCCCGGCGUAGCUCAGAUUGCCAAGUGCCGGAGGAAAUGCUGGGGAAACUGGCAGAGUCACGUGGACCAGCGUUAUGCUAGAGCACGGGAGAACCUUGGCGGAUUCCAUGGCAGGAGGCCAGCGUGGAGAUGUGAUUGGCCAAUACCGGUAUGCUUUGCACAGCAAGAACUUACCCACUGACGCAUCUUGCUGGUCCAAGAAGAUAUUAUUAAACAUAUUUUAAAAGGUUUGGGGCCUGGGGAGAUGGCUCAGCAGUUAAGAGCACUGGCUGCUCUUCCAGAGGACCCCAGGUUUUACUCCUGGCACCAGCAUGGUUGCUCACGACCAUCUGUCCCAGAGGAUUAGUCGCCCCCUCCUGGCUUCCGUGAGUAUUGCACAAACACGGUGCAAGCCGGCAAAACACCCAUACACAGAAAAUAAAGGCUUUUCUUCUU